GCCCGGAUAGCUCAGUCGGUAGAGCAUCAGACUUUUAAUCUGAGGGUCCAGGGUUCGAGCCCCUGUUCGGGCG
rfam:Echinostoma caproni strain Egypt genome assembly, scaffold: ECPE_scaffold0007222